rnacentral:rRNA from 1 species
UACGAAGGGGGCUAGCGUUGUUCGGAAUCACUGGGCGUAAAGUGCACGUAGGCGGAUCUUUAAGUCAGAGGUGAAAUCCCAAGGCUCAACCUUGGAACUGCCUUUGAUACUGGGGAUCUUGAGUCCGGGAGAGGUGAGUGGAACUGCGAGUGUAGAGGUGAAAUUCGUAGAUAUUCGCAAGAACACCAGUGGCGAAGGCGGCUCACUGGCCCGGUACUGACGCUGAGGUGCGAAAGCGUGGGGAGCGAACAGG